rnacentral:rRNA from 1 species
UACAGAGGUGGCAAGCGUUGUUCGGAAUUACUGGGCGUAAAGGGCGCGUAGGCGGCCAUCUAAGUCAGACGUGAAAUCCCUCGGCUUAACCGGGGAACUGCGUCUGAUACUGGUUGGCUUGAGUUUGGGAGAGGGAUGCGGAAUUCCAGGUGUAGCGGUGAAAUGCGUAGAUAUCUGGAGGAACACCGGUGGCGAAGGCGGCAUCCUGGACCAACACUGACGCUGAGGAGCGAAAGCCAGGGGAGCAAACGGG